GGGGAACAACCCCUGUAGAUAACUUAACUAACAACCAAUGCAACCAAACUGAGAUAUACAAUCAAACAGAAGCUAUCAAACUCCAGAUGAUGCUUCAGUUGGACCAUUCUAGCUGUCACUACUCUCCUUUGGAUGGCGAAGAACCCUAGCUGUCACAAGCCUCCCUUUGAUGUCCCUGUCCAGCAGAAAGAAGCCAAAACAGUCUUUGCUCCUCCUCCUGUGGUAGCAAAGGAUUCCCUGCCCCCACAAACUGAUUUUCUCUAAGUCUGCUACAGCAUCUUGAGAAUCAAGAAGGGGGAAUGAGAAGGAAAGCUGUAGAAAAGCAGAUAAAAAGGGGCAGCCAGAUGUCCAAGGCCAGAUACUCCUCUUGGAUGCUUUUGGCUUCUGGGAUCUUGCUUGCCUUUUGUAUCAGCCUUUAUCCAGGAACCAGAAGCCUAACUGUACUAGCCCUACCCAUCCCAGAAGCACAUAUGUAUAAAAGAAGGGUAAAACCUGAGCUGGAUGCUCCACCUUUGGAGGUGACACUGCUGGGCCAACACCAGUGCAAAAUAAACAGUCUUUACUGAUUCCCA